GACGAACGCUGGCGGCGUGCUUAACACAUGCAAGUCGAACGGAAAGGCCCUGCUUUUGUGGGGUGCUCGAGUGGCGAACGGGUGAGUAACACGUGAGUAACCUGCCCUUGACUUUGGGAUAACUUCAGGAAACUGGGGCUAAUACCGGAUAGGAGCUCCUGCUGCAUGGUGGGGGUUGGAAAGUUUCGGCGGUUGGGGAUGGACUCGCGGCUUAUCAGCUUGUUGGUGGGGUAGUGGCUUACCAAGGCUUUGACGGGUAGCCGGCCUGAGAGGGUGACCGGCCACAUGGGACCUGGGAGACGGCCCAGACUCUUCCGGGGGGCAGCAGGGGGAAAUAUUGCACAAUGGGCGGAGGCCUGAUGCAGAACCGCCGCGUGGGGGAUGACGGCCUUCGGGUUGUAACCCGCUUUCGCCUGUGACGAGGCGUGAGUGACGGUAAUGGGUAAAGAAGCACCGGCUAACUACGU
rnacentral:rRNA from 1 species